GGCUAUCAGGUGAAUCCUUAAACUACCAAAAAUACAAAACAUUGUGCGAUAAGAUCGGUUUACGGAUUUAAAAAAAAACAAUAUUAUAUGCACACUAUGCAAUCCAAUUUGUGAAUAAUGCUGGACUAAACACACACAAUAUGAGAAGUGUAUCUUGAAGGUGCUGUAGACAAAUGACGCAUCACCGUUAUUCCGAUUUAAAACAGUAUCAACAACAUAGCUGUAGUUACUAAAUUUCCUGUAUCAUAAAUCUAUAGAUAUGUACAACUGUUUGAAUGAACGGAAAGCACUACAUGAAUAUCAUUCAUAUUUGAAACAGUUCCUAACGAAUAUUGAACAAAUAAAUCUCUCCUGUAAAUUGCCUAAAUGUUAAACACCUUGAAAUAAUAAAAUCUCCAUCCUGAUUUUGUUUUAGUGAUACCGUGUUGCAAUAUUACAAUGGUUCUAUUUUAAUAAACUUGUUUCAUUCAUUACUCGAGACGUUGGAAAGUCCUAGGAACAAACCAUUACAAGGAUUUAUUUUUAAACCAUUAUUUCGUACAAGCUAAUUAUAGCUAUUUCUAAAGUUUAUUGCGUGAAACCAUUCACUGACUGGCGAUUUCUUAACUUUUCAAAUCCACGGAAUAUGUAAAAUAAUG
rnacentral:lncRNA from 1 species